CGCUGGCGGCGUGCCUAAUACAUGCAAGUCGAGCGCAGGAAGCAAGCGGAUCCCCUUCGGGGGUGAAACUUGUGGAAUGAGCGGCGGACGGGUGAGUAACACGUGGGCAACCUACCUGUAAGAUCGGAAUAACCCCGGGAAACCGGGGCUAAUGCCGGGUAACACCUUCCCUCACCUGAGGGGAGGUUAAAAGAUGGCUUCUCGCUAUCACUUACAGAUGGGCCCGCGGCGCAUUAGCUAGUUGGUGAGGUAACGGCUCACCAAGGCGACGAUGCGUAGCCGACCUGAGAGGGUGAUCGGCCACACUGGGACUGAGACACGGCCCAGACUCCUACGGGAGGCAGCAGUAGGGAAUCUUCCGCAAUGGACGAAAGUCUGACGGAGCAACGCCGCGUGAACGAUGAAGGUCUUCGGAUCGUAAAGUUCUGUUGUUAGGGAAGAACAAGUACCGUGCGAAUAGAGCGGUACCUUGACGGUACCUAACGAGGAAGCCCCGGCUAACUACGUGCCAGCAGCCGCGGUAAUACGUAGGGGGCAAGCGUUGUCCGGAAUUAUUGGGCGUAAAGCGCGCGCAGGCGGUUCCUUAAGUCUGAUGUGAAAGCCCACGGCUCAACCGUGGAGGGUCAUUGGAAACUGGGGAACUUGAGGACAGAAGAGGAGAGUGGAAUUCCACGUGUAGCGGUGAAAUGCGUAGAUAUGUGGAGGAACACCAGUGGCGAAGGCGACUCUCUGGUCUGUCUCUGACGCUGAGGUGCGAAAGCGUGGGUAGCAAACAGGAUUAGAUACCCUGGUAGUCCACGCCGUAAACGAUGAGUGCUAGGUGUUAGGGGGCUUCCACCCCUUAGUGCUGAAGUUAACGCAUUAAGCACUCCGCCUGGGGAGUACGGCCGCAAGGCUGAAACUCAAAGG
rnacentral:rRNA from 1 species